ensembl:snRNA U6 U6 spliceosomal RNA
GUGAUUACAGCAUCUGCCUCUGCAUGGGCAACACAUAUACUAAAAUCGGAGCGAUACAGAGAUGAUGAGCAUGGCCUCUGUGCAAGGAUGGCAUGCAGAUUCAUGAAACAUUCCAUAUUUUG